rnacentral:rRNA from 1 species
GAUGAACGCUGGCGGCGUGCCUAAUACAUGCAAGUCGAGCGAACAGACGAGGAGCUUGCUCCUCUGACGUUAGCGGCGGACGGGUGAGUAACACGUGGAUCACCUACUUAUCAGACUGGGAUCACUUCGGGAAACCGGAGCUAACACCGGAUAAUAUAUUGCACCGUAUGGUUCAAUAGUGAAAGACGGUUUUGCUGUCACUUAUAGCUGGAUCCGCGCCGCAUUAGCUAGUUGGUAAGGUCACGGCUUACCACGGCAACGAGGCGUAGCCGACCUGAGAGGGGGGUCGGCCACACGGGAAGUUAGACACGGUCCAGAGUACUACGGGAGGCAGCAGUAGGGAACCGUCGGCAGUGGGCGAAAGCCUGGCGGAACAACGCCGCGUGAGAGACGAAGGUCUUCCGAUCGUAAAACUGGGUUAUUAGGUAAGAACAAAUGUGUAAGUAACUAUGCACGUCGUGACGGUACCUGGUCAGAAAGCCACGGCUAACUACGUG